GUUGGGAACCUCACUGUGGAUCUCAGCAUGAACUAAUGGAUACUUUGUUUCAAACUGAAUUAGUACUGAACUAUAACCUGAACUGUGCUGUGUUCUGCAGGUGUGUUGCUGUAUGCAGGCCUGGUUCUCCUUUCCCCAAUUGUCAUAUCACUGGUAGCUGUGAUCAUUUUCUGGAGGAACAGCAAACCUAAAAACACUGGAUCUGUCUGUGCGUCCAGUGUGACAACUGAUUAUUUUCCUGCGCACACCACCAGCACUGUCAUCUACUCAGCACAGCCGGUGUGAGGGGGCUGCCACACCAGCUCACAGGUUGACCAACGUAAACCUGAUCCAUCAAUGUGUCUUUACAACAAAAUGUGGCAACAACAACUUCAUGUUAAACAUAAAUAAUAAUAUCGACACAAAAUAUCAAACACCCGAUGCCUCGACUGUAAAGAUGUCAUCGUUGUUGUGAAAGAAACAGGAAGACCAAAGCUGGUAAAUAGUUCCCUCAAGUCUCGUACAGUGUUAGAAGAAAAUACAAUGAUUAACAAUUUUUAUGACUGAAAAACGUUUGUGCAUUUGAUGUUAAAAUAAAAGGUCACAACGAGAGCUGUGGCACGAGGACAGUAGAAAAAUAGACUGAGGAGAGAUGAGGACCAGGGUC